AAAAAAGAAAAAUAUUUUUAAUUUAUAAAAGCUAAGAUCUUGAAAUUCACAAAAUGAAUGGUUUAGAUUCGUUUUGGAGGGGAUUAAUUUUGAUCAUAUCUCGGAUUCAAAUUGAGCUUUCUUUUAUUUGGGGAUUGAUUAUUGAGAUAAAAAAAUAGUAUGUGUAAAAUUUGGAGUCAUACAAAUACCACAAAUGUGGUUUUUUAGAAGUGUCGAUGUGUUAUAUUAUAAUACAACCGUUGCAUUAGAUCAUUGCUCUUGAAAAAAAGCCCAAUUAAUAGUGCAAUACAAUCGUUGUAUUAGAUAUUGCUCUUGAAAAAAAAGCCCAAUUAAUA
rnacentral:lncRNA from 1 species